AGCAGCGUGGCGUAGUGGUAAGGAGCAGGGCUUGUAACCAAAAGGUUGCUGGUUCGAUUCCCCACUGUGG